rnacentral:rRNA from 1 species
ACCCGCUGAACUUAAGCAUAUCAAUAAGCGGAGGAAAAGAAACUAACAAGGAUUCCCCUAGUAACUGCGAGUGAAGCGGGAAAAGCUCAAAUUUAAAAUCUGGCGGUCCUUGUGGCCGUCCGAGUUGUAAUUUAGAGAAGCGUUAUCCGCGCUGGACCGUACACAAGUCUCCUGGAAUGGAGCGUCAUAGAGGGUGAGAAUCCCGUCUUUGGUACGGACUGCCAGGGCAUUGUGAUGCGCUCUCAAAGAGUCGAGUUGUUUGGGAAUGCAGCUCAAAAUGGGUGGUAAAUUCCAUCUAAAGCUAAAUAUUGAGGAGAGACCGAUAGCGAACAAGUACCGUGAGGGAAAGAUGAAAAGAACUUUGGAAAGAGAGUUAAACAGUACGUGAAAUUGCUGAAAGGGAAACGCUUGAAGUCAGUCGCGUCGUUCAGGACUCAGCCUUGCUUUUGCUUGGUGUACUUCUUGUUCGACGGGUCAACAUCAAUUUUGGUCGGUGGAUAAAGGCUUGGAGAAUGUGGCAUCCUCGGAUGUGUUAUAGCUCUAGGUCGCAUACAUCGGCUGGGAUUGAGGAACUCAGCACGCCGCAAGGCCGGGUACUUGUACCACGUACGUGCUUAGGAUGUUGGCAUAAUGGCUUUAAUCGACCCGUCUUGAAACACGG